rnacentral:rRNA from 1 species
CCUACGGGUGGCAGCAGUGAGGAAUAUUGGACAAUGGACGAGAGUCUGAACCAGCAACGUAGCGUGAAGGAUGACUGCCCUAUGGGUGGUAAACUUCUUUUAUAUGGGAGUAAAAUGUUCCACGUGUGGGAUGUUGUAUGUACCAUAUGAAUAGGGAUCGGCUAAAUCCGUGCCAGUAGCCGCGGUAAUACGGAGGAUCCGAGGGUUAUCCGGAUUUGUUGGGGUUAAAGGGAGCGUAGGUGGAUUGUUAAGUCAGUUGUGAAAGUUUGCGGGCCAAACGUAAAAUUGCAGUGGAAACUGGCAGUCUUGAGUACAGGAGAGGUGGGCGGAAUUCGUGGUGUAGCGGUGAAAUGCUUAGAUAUUACGAAGAACACCGAUGGCGAAGGCAGCUCACUGGACUGCAACUGACACUGAGGUUCGAAAGUGUGGGUAGCAAACAGGAUUAGAUACCCGAGUAGUC